ensembl:lncRNA
AUGUACCAGGCAGCUGUCUCCAAGCGGGCAGACAACACCAUCCCCAGCGGGGUCAUGGAGGAGUCGGGGGUCUGUUCCCUGCCUGGGGGACUUGCAAGUGUGAGGAAACAAUUUGAGACCCAGGAAACUGCAUCAUCACAUAAUGUAACCCAGUUUCAUUUCCAUCACAGAACCGUGCAGGAAAUGUCCCAUUCAGAGGUGACAGAGUCAAGUGACACCAGGCAGGUCCUCCCAGGCAGUCAGCAGCUAAAUUUCAAUCAAGAAAUGAUGGUAAAUAAUCAUUCCGCUCACUGUUUUCUUGCAGGCAGUGCAAUAAGGCUCGCUAAUGAUGUAAACUCAUUGAUUGCUUUGUUGAGUAAAAACUGUAACUAAUAGAAAUCCGUCUGACUGGUGUAAUAAAUGUGUGUUUAGUAGUCUUUAACAGCUUGAGCGGAGAUUAAAAACAUUAUUUUUAGUGGAAAAAUGUGCAGGACGUGAAGGAUGAUGCUUACUUAUUACAUUUCUGUCCAUCUCUGUGCAGUUUCUCCCCUAAUUUCUCUUUACCCGUUCCCAUUUUAAUUGCUCACAGGUGUCAUAUAGCGACAACAACUUGGCAUCCACUUAUGAAAACCAUCAAAAUGAAACAGGUAGCAUGCCUUUUCUAUAGGCUUUUCUGUAUCACCUGUCACUACUGCGCUGAUUAAAGCCUUGCCUUUGCUGUUUUUGGCUGUGCUGACUUCUAGAAGAGGAGUUUCCCAGGUACACAACAAAAGAACUGAGGGAUCACUUUGAAAGAACAAUAGAAGAGGCUGCGCCACAAAAAUCAAUUAAGGUAAUGAUUUGCACUUAACUAUUAAGAACAUGAAAUUAAGGAAUCUUUAUUUCGGACUGUUUAAUUGGAACUUGGAACUGUUACAUUUUUUAAAGUUACAUGAAGUUAAAGCUGUUUUAUUCUACAAAUUGGGCUGUUUAAUUGUCAAAAAUACAAUGAAAGCAUUACUUUAUAUGUUUAUUUAUUCAAAUGUAAACAAACAAACAAACAAACACCAAUGACAGUAUAGCUCUGCAAGGGGUUGGAGGUGUACACACUCCUGCAACAUACCACUGGAGUUUCUGCCUUUAUUCUUUCAAUGCUUAGGAACUGAUCUGCUGUCGAGAACUGCAGAAAAUAAACAUGAUCUUGUAUUCUUGACAUAUUAAAUGAAUAAUGUGACAAGGCAAUAAAAGUCUGCAGAUUUUGGCCAUUUGAAUAUUUUUAAUAUGAAGCAACAGCAGUAGGAAAAGUUCUGUUUGCAUUAUCAGUAAGCACUGAGGCAAAUAACUGCUGUAGGAGAUCUACAGAAAUGCUGCAGUCCUGCAUACAUCUCCAUGUUUAAGUUGAAGCAACCAGAAUCCAGUGUGGGAGUGACAGACUCUGUCAUUACAUUAUAACACUACAGGGAGAGAUAGUUGCUAAAAAAAAAAUGAAUAGAAUAUUUGUGGUCAAAAUAUUGAUAAUAGUACUGAGAAGGUGGUUGAUUUAACAUCUUUAGGUAUAGCAUUAACUCUUCUUAGUGAUUCCUUUGCUUGAGGAAAGAAAAAAGAUGAAAAUCACACAGUUCCAUUUAUUUUAGUAAAACUGGCAGUCUGCUGUGUAAGAUUAUGCAUGCUUGUCUUUCAUGAUCAAAUUUAGCAGCAAGUUUCACAACUCGUGGAAGUUCAAUUUAUAUAUAUACGAAAUCAUGACAAUUUAGAGGAAAGACCUACCCCUUAACCCUGACAAUAUGGGAACCCAGUCACUGGUAUGUUUUUAGGUCCACUUGUCCCCUUGGUGCAGGGUGAGGAGAAAAAUUUUCCAAGAGGCCACACAAGAAACAGACCGCAUCAAUAAUUAAUAUUGAGCAGAAUUGAGUUCAGGUUAUUGAUGUGACCAUUCCCAGGUUCUCAUGUUGGAAAAAUUUAUUGCUCACCCUACCUUUAAAGAAAUGCGUCAGUACAAAGUUGUUCUGAGUAUUCAUGUUUAUAAUAUGAUAAAUUGUUUUUAUCCUGAUGGGAGUGGUCUGUUCCAGGAUGGCAGUGUUCCCUUCCAUGUGUUCAAGAGGGGUCAUACAGUGUUUUAUUGAAAUGUAUGGAGAUGAUGUCAAUCAUAUAUCUUGACCCAAUUAAAUAACAGAAUGCUGACUUACCUAAGAUCCUAGAUACUUUCUUUACAGUAAAUGUGUCACUUAUCUGUAAUUCCUAGUUU